GGGAAAAUAGCAUAAUGGUUAAUGUACUUCUUUGUCAAGGAAGGCUAUGGCGGUUCGAGUCCGCUUUUUCUCG
rnacentral:tRNA from 1 species